rnacentral:rRNA from 1 species
UACGUAGGGUGCAAGCGUUGUCCGGAAUCAUUGGGCGUAAAGAGCGUGUAGGCGGCUCGAUUAGUCCGCUGUAAAAGUCCAGGGCUCAACCCUGGGAUGCCGGUGGAAACUGUCGGGCUAGAGUCCGGGAGAGGCGAGUGGAAUUCCUGGUGUAGCGGUGAAAUGCGCAGAUAUCAGGAGGAACACCAAUGGCGAAGGCAGCUCGCUGGAACGGUACUGACGCUGAGACGCGAAAGCGUGGGGAGCAAUCAGG